rnacentral:tRNA from 1 species
ACCUCUUUAACUCAUAGAUCACUGAUCUCGUAAAUCAGGGGUUGUGAGUUCAAUCCUCACAGGAGGCA